rnacentral:lncRNA from 1 species
GGAGGUGGUUGCAGGGGGGCAUGGGCGUUGCAGGGGAGGUGGGGCCUUGCAGGGGAGAUGGACAUUACAGGGAGAUGGUUUCUCGUGGAGGAGAUGGUCGGUGCAGGGGAGAUGGUUGUUGCAGGAGAUAUGGUUUUUUGCACAGGAGAUGGUUUCUCAUGGAGGAGAUGGUCAUUGAAGGGGAGAUGGUGGUUGCAGGGGAGAUGGUUUCUCAUGGAGGAGAUGGUCAGUGCAGGGGAGAUGCUGUUGCAGGGAAGGUGAUUUCUCAUGGAGGAGAUGGUCAUUGCAGGGGAGAUGGUCGUUGCAGGAGAUGUGGUUUCUUGUGGGGGAGAUGGUGGUUGCAGGGGAGAUGGUUUCUCAUGGAGGAGAUGGUCAUUGCAGGGGAGAUGGUUGUUGCAGGAGAUGUGGUUUCUUGUGGGGGAGAUGGUUUCUCAUGGAGGAGAUGGUCAUUGCAGGGGAGAUGGUUGUUGCAGGAGAUAUGGUUUCUUGCACGGGAGAUGGUUUCUCAUGGAGGAGAUGGUCGUUGCAGGGGAGAUGGUUGUUGCAGAAGAUACGGUUUCUUGUACAGGAGAUGGUUUCUUGUGGAGGAGAUGGUCGGUGCAGGGAAGAUGGUUGUUGCAGGAGAUGUGGUUUCUUGUGGGGGAGAUGGUGGUUGCAGGGGAGAUGGUUUCUCGUGGAGGAGAUGGUCAUUGCAGGGGAGAUGGUUGUUGCAGGAGAUACGGUUUCUUGCACGGGAGAUGGUUUCUCAUGGAGGAGAUGGUCAUUGCAGGGAAGAUGGUUGUUGCAGGAGAUAUGGUUUCUUGCACGGGAGAUGGUUUCUCAUGGAGGAGAUGGUCGUUGCAGGGGAGGUGGUUGUUGCAGGAGAUACGGUUUCUUGUGGGGGAGAUGGUGAUUGCAGGGGAGAUGGUUUUUUGUGGAGGAGAUGGUCGGUGCAGGGGAGAUGGUUGUUGCAGGAGAUACGGUUUCUUGUGGGGGCGAUGGUGGUUGCAAGGGAGAUGGUUUCUCGUGGAGGAGAUGGUCGGUGCAGGGGAGAUGGCUGUUGCAGAGGAGAUGAUUGUUGCAGGAGAUAUAUGGUUUCUUGCAGGGAAGAUCCCCUUGCAAGGGAGAUGGUCAUUGUAGGGCUGAUGGUCGUUGCAGGAGAGAUGGUUUCCUGCAGGGGAGAUAGUUGUUGCGGGGAGAUGGUUGUUGCAUUGGAGAUGGUUGUUGCAGGGGAGAUGGUUUCUCAUGGAGGAGAUGGUCAGUGCAGGGAGAUGGUCCUUGCAGGGGAGAUGAUUGUUGCAGGGGAGAUGGUCAUUGUAGGGGAGAUGGUUGUUGUAGGGGAGGUGGUUGUUGCAGGGGAGGUGGUUGUUGUAGGGGAGAUGGUUGUUGCAGGGGAGAUGGUUUCUCAUGGAGGAGAUGGUCAGUGCAGGGAGAUGGUCCUUGCAGGGGAGAUGAUUGUUGCAGGGGAGAUGGUCGUUGUAGGGGAGGUGGUUGCUGCAUUGGAGAUGGUUGUUGCAGGGGAGGUGGUUGUUGCAGGGGAGAUGGUUGUUGUAGGGAAGGUGGUUUCUCAUGGAGGAGAUGGUCGGUGCAGGGAGAUGGUCAUUGCAGGGGCAAUGACUGUUGCAGAGGAGAUGGUUUCAUGAGGGAAUGGGACCCUGCCCGGGCAUCCCCUGCCCACUGCGAGGGCACCGUGACACGGUGCAGGGCUGAGGGCUGAACCCAUAAAGGGUCCCACCAGCUCUGGGACCACCAGGCCUGGAGGGUGCCACCAGCCAGGCUGGGGACAGCGCUCCUGGGGCCAGGCUGGAGAGAAACAGUGUCCCCUGACUCAGCCCCGUCCCCAGCAGCGUGGGAUGUCCCCUGGGCUCCCCAGAGGAGCAGGAAUUUUGGGAACCGGGCGGGCGAUGAGUUUCCCACCCUGCCCUGAGUGGUUGAGGGGGGGGGAUGCCAAGACCCACAGGCACCCCCUGCUUAUCUCCCAGUGCUCCCACAGCCCCCCAGUGCCCGAGCCUGCCCUGGGGGAGGUGGCACCCCGGGGUGCUUUUGGGGAGAUGGUUCCCAGCCCCAGCUCUCCCUUGAGGCCACAUCUCCCGGGUUCUCCAGGCCCCAGCCAAGCCCUUCCCGGCAGCACCACCUCCUCCCACCACAUCCCGGCACCGCGCUCCGGGGGGGGGACGUGUCCCCCCACCAGCUCCAUCCUUGGUUGGGGGGGGGGGGGGGGACCCCCCAAAAAACCCCUCUUUUCUGGAANNNNNNNNNNNNNNNNNNNNNNNNN